AAGAGCCACCCAAAAACGCGCGCAGGAACAGCAACGUGUUCAUAAUAACUCACUGCAGGACUUAUUAAAACAACGGAGAUUUAACUAGAGCAAUGGACCAAUUGCUAAAAACAGCGAAGAAAUAAGAUGCCGAUUAAGGCGAUUUAACCCAGGCGGAAGUGGCAGAAAAAAAGAAAAGAAAGUGAAGUUCAUUCAUUCAUUUCCUUCUCGCAACAGUGGGCGGAAUUUAAGCCAGAUGGGGGAUUUUGAAAAGUGGGAUAUUUGAGUGUCUCCUCAGGCCUCUGAGAAGAGUCUGGAGACUCCUGUGCUGCCGUGGACCUGAAGAGACUGAAAUCAAGCUUUCAGUGGAAGAAACAUCACCAGUGUUCGGUGACCAUAGCUCUGUCCGUCCAUGGUGAAGAUGAGAUGAUAAUAAUGAAUCCACUGAAGACCAGACAGACGACAGAAAUUUUGGACCUACAUUUUAAAGCCAAGUUUAAAAGACUGAGAAAUGGGUAUACUUCUCCUCGAAUCAUCGGUCCAGCUGUCCGACAUGUCCAUCUGUCUGCCAUACUGACAUGAAAUGUGACUGCUGCCAGAAUGUGAUGUGUAAUGGCCAAGUUAUGUGUAUUUUAUCAUUAUUACCUGCUCAGGUGACCAUAGUUUGCACAAGCUCUUCAGCCAUUGUCUCUUCAUCCUAAUAGACCCAAGUUGUUUGGUUUAGGUCCAUGCAAGGAGGCAUUAGAUCAUUAGCAAGAUAAUGAAGUGCUGUACCAGUGAAGUGUCCUUAAAUUUUAAACCUAUACUGUUGUUUCAAGUACUGUCUUUUGGUUUUAAAAAGCGUAUGCACAUGUUGGUGCAUAAGCAAAAGCUGUGGCUGAAUGUUUUCAUACAGAAAUCAUGAUUCAUCCAUAGUUACAGUAAUGCAAAAAGUCUUUGCACCAUCUUUGUUUGCUCUGGAUGAGAAUGCACCUCUAGGGAGCGCGGUGCGUUUGAUAGUCCCUCAUUUAGAGUUCAUUAAGGUAAGAACAAGUAACUGUUGUGA